CGCCUUGCCAGCCCGCUCAGAAACUUAAAGGAAGUUGACGGGGGCCCGCACAAGACGGAGGAGCAUGUGGUUUAAUUCGAUGAUACGCGAGGAACCUUACCUGGGCUCGAACGUAAGAUGACUGUAGGUGAAAGCUUACAUCUCUUCGGAGCAUUUUACGAGGUGCUGCAUGGUUGUCGUCAGCUCGUGCCGUGAGGUGUCGGGUUAAGUCCCAUAACGAGCGCAACCCCUACCUUUAGUUGCCAUCAGGUUAAGCUGGGGACUCUAAAGGAACUGCCUACGCAAGUAGUGAGGAAGGCGGGGAUGACGUCAAAUCAGCACGGCCCUUACGUCCAGGGCUACACACGUGCUACAAUGGCCGAUACAGAGGGCAGCUACCUGGUGACAGGAUGCAAAUCUCCAAAGUCGGUCUCAGUUCGGAUCGGAGUCUGCAACCCGACUCCGUGAAGUUGGAUUCGCUAGUAAUCGCGCAUCAGCCAUGGCGCGGUGAAUACGUUCCCGGGCCUU
rnacentral:rRNA from 1 species